AAAUCCCAAAGCUUAACUUUGGAACUGCAAUUAAAACUGCUCGACUAKUGUUUGAUAGAGGAAAGCGGAAUACAUAGUGUAGAGGUGAAAUUCGUAGAUAUUAUGUAGAACACCAGUUGCGAAGGCGGCUUUCUGGAUCAUCACUGACGCUGAGGCCCGAAAGUAUGGGUAGCAAARRRGAUUAGAUACCCYCGUAGUCCAUACCAUAAACGAUGAUUGCUAGAUGUUGGAAAUUUUUUUUCAGUAUCGCAGCUAACGCAUUAAGCAAUCCGCCUGGGGAGUACGACCGCAAGUUWWAACUCWAAUGAAUUGACGGGGACCCGCAC
rnacentral:rRNA from 1 species